UACGUAGGGUGCGAGCGUUAAUCGGAAUUACUGGGCGUAAAGCGUGCGCAGGCGGCUUCGCAAGUCAGACGUGAAAUCCCCGGGCUUAACCUGGGAAUGGCGUUUGAAACUACGGAGCUGGAGUGUGGCAGAGGGAGGUAGAAUUCCACGUGUAGCAGUGAAAUGCGUAGAGAUGCGGAGGAACACCGAUGGCGAAGGCAGCCCCCUGGGCUGACACUGACGCUGAGGCACGAAAGCGUGGGGAGCAAACAGG
rnacentral:rRNA from 1 species